GACGAACGCUGGCGGCGUGCUUAACACAUGCAAGUCGAACGGAAAGGCCCUGCUUGCAGGGUACUCGAGUGGCGAACGGGUAAGUAACACGUGGGUGAUCUGCCCUGCACUUCGGGAUAAGCCUGGGAAACUGGGUCUAAUACCGGAUAGGAGCCAUUUUUAGUGUGAUGGUUGGAAAGUUUUUUCGGUGUAGGAUGAGCUCGCGGCCUAUCAGCUUGUUGGUGGGGUAAUGGCCUACCAAGGCGGCGACGGGUAGCCGGCCUGAGUGGGUGGACGGCCACAUUGGGACUGAGGUACGGCCCAGACUCCUACGGGAGGCAGCAGUGGGGAAUAUUGCACAAUCGGCGCAAGCCUGAUGCAGCGACUCCGCGUGGGGGAUGACGGCCUUCGGGUUGUAAACUCCUUUCGCUAGGGACGAAGCAUUUUGUGACGGUACCUAGAUAAGAAGCACCGGCUAACUACGUG
rnacentral:rRNA from 1 species